GCCGGUUUAGCUCAAAGGUUAGAGCAUCGCAUUUGUAAUGCGAUUGUCAUCGGUUGGAAUCCGAUAACCGACU